CCUGGUGAUUAUAGUGCAGAUGUACCACCCGAUCCCAUUCCGAACUCGAACGUGAAGCUCUGUUGCGCUGAUG
rnacentral:rRNA from 1 species